UUUCACAGAGGGAUAGCCCAGAGAAAUUUGGAUUAAUACCUCAUGGUAUUAUAGAGUGGCAUCACUUUAUAAUUAAAGUCACAACGGUGAAAGAUGAGCAUGCGUCCCAUUAGCUAGAUGGUAAGGUAACGGCUUACCAUGGCUACGAUGGGUAGGGGUCCUGAGAGGGAGAUCCCCCACACUGGUACUGAGACACGGACCAGACUCCUACGGGAGGCAGCAGUGAGGAAUAUUGGUCAAUGGGCGCAAGCCUGAACCAGCCAUGCCGCGUGCAGGAUGACGGUCCUAUGGAUUGUAAACUGCUUUUGUACGAGAAGAAACAACAUUACGUGUAAUGUCUUGACGGUAUCGUAAGAAUAAGGAUCGGCUAACUCCGUGCCAGCAGCCGCGGUAAUACGGAGGAUCCGAGCGUUAUCCGGAAUCAUUGGGUUUAAAGGGUCCGUAGGCGGUUUAGUAAGUCAGUGGUGAAAGCCCAUCGCUCAACGGUGGAACGGUCAUUGAUACUGCUAGACUUGAAUUAUUGGGAAGUAACUAGAAUAUGUAGUGUAGCGGUGAAAUGCUUAGAGAUUACAUGGAAUACCAAUUGCGAAGGCAGGUUACUACCAAUGGAUUGACGCUGAUGGACGAAAGCGUGGGGAGCGAACAGGAUUAGAUACCCUGGUAGUCCACGCCGUAAACGAUGGAUACUAGCUGUUGGGCGCAAGUUCAGUGGCUAAGCGAAGGUGAUAAGUAUCCCACCUGGGGAGUACGGGCGCAAGCCUGAAACUCAAAGGAAUUGACGGGGGCCCGCACAAGCGGUGGAGCAUGUGGUUUAAUUCGAUGAUACGCGAGGAACCUUACCAAGGCUUAAAUGUAGAUUGACCGAUUUGGAAACAGAUCUUUCGCAAGACAAUUUACAAGGUGCUGCAUGGUUGUCGUCAGCUCGUGCCGUGAGGUGUCAGGUUAAGUCCUAUAACGAGCGCAACCCCUGUUGUUAGUUGCCAGCGAGUCAUGUCGGGAACUCUAACGAGACUGCCA
rnacentral:rRNA from 1 species